GACGAACGCUGGCGGCGUGCCUAAUACAUGCAAGUAGAACGCUGAAGGAGGAGCUUGCUCUUCUGGAUGAGUUGCGAACGGGUGAGUAACGCGUAGGUAACCUGCCUGGUAGCGGGGGAUAACUAUUGGAAACGAUAGCUAAUACCGCAUAAGAGUAGAUGUUGCAUGACAUUUACUUAAAAGGUGCAAUUGCAUCACUACCAGAUGGACCUGCGUUGUAUUAGCUAGUUGGUGGGGUAACGGCUUACCAAGGCGACGAUACAUAGCCGACCUGAGAGGGGUAUCGGCCACACUGGGACUGAGACACGGCCCAGACUCCUACGGGAGGCAGCAGUAGGGAAUCAUCGGCAAUGGACGGAAGUCUGACCGAGCAACGCCGCGGGAGUGAAGAAGGGUUUCGGAUCGUAAAGCUCUGUUGUAAGAGAAGAACGAGUGUGAGAGUGGAAAGUUCACACUGUGACGGUAGCUUACCAGAAAGGGACGGCUAACUACGUG
rnacentral:rRNA from 1 species